AGACAAUAAUAGCAGAACAGAUCAGCUCCUGGCAAUGGACUAAAUGUCAGCUGCUGGUCUUUGUAACAGCUGAUGCGGCAGAUAGAAGAGGAGACAAGUCCCAUCUGGAAGGCUCCAUGGCAGAGCAUUUAAUGCUGAACACUGCUGUUAGAGAGAAUGCAUUAUUAAUGUGAGGGGAAACUAACGGGGACCAGCAGCUCCUCGGGGCUGUGAAGAGGACGGUUGGCGUCUCUGAGGAAGCAACACCACGCCUCAAAGGUCUUCCUCGAAAUCACAGCCCUGAAACUCCAGAUGAAGACUAGACCUUUAUUCUGUACGCAGAGAGAGAGCCGAAGAAUCACCAGGAUGAAUAUUCAGAAUGUUUCAAAUCCCUGAGCUGUGGAGGAU